rnacentral:rRNA from 1 species
GAUGAACGCUGGCGGCGUGCCUAAUACAUGCAAGUCGAGCGAACAGACGAGGAGCUUGCUCCUCUGACGUUAGCGGCGGACGGGUGAGUAACACGUGGAUAACCUACCUAUAAGACUGGGAUAACUUCGGGAAACCGGAGCUAAUACCGGAUAAUAUAUUGAACCGCAUGGUUCAAUAGUGAAAGACGGUUUUGCUGUCACUUAUAGAUGGAUCCGCGCCGCAUUAGCUAGUUGGUAAGGUAACGGCUUACCAAGGCGACGAUGCGUAGCCGACCUGAGAGGGUGAUCGGCCACACUGGAACUGAGACACGGUCCAGACUCCUACGGGAGGCAGCAGUAGGGAAUCUUCCGCAAUGGGCGAAAGCUUGACGGAGCAACGCCGCGUGAGUGAUGAAGGUCUUCGGAUCGUAAAACUCUGUUAUUAGGGAAGAACAAAUAUGUAAGUAACUAUGCACGUCUUGACGGUACCUAAUCAGAAAGCCACGGCUAACUACGUG